GAGGAACGCUGGCGGCGUGCCUAAUACAUGCAGGUCGAGCAAAAUUUUUCUGGUGCUUGCACCGGAGAACUUAACGCCAAACGGGUGAGAAACACGUAUAGAACCUGCCUCAUAGACUGGGACAACUAUUGGAAACGAUAGCUAAUACCGGAUAACAGCAUUAACUGCAUGGUUGAUGUUUAAGAGUUGGUUUUGCUAACACUAUGACAUGGCUUUGCGGUGCAUUAGCUAGUUGGUGGGGUAAAGGCCUACCGAGGCGACGAUGCAUAGCCGACCUGAGAGGGUGAUCGGACACACUGGGACUGAUACACAGACCAGACUCCUACAGGAGGCAGCAGUAGGGAAUCUUCCGCAAUGGGAGAAAGACUGACCGAUCAACGCCGCGUGAGUGAAGAAGGAUUACGGUUCUUAAAGCUCUGUUGUUAGGGAAGAAUGAUUGUGUAGUAACUAUACACAGGAGAGACCCCACCUAACCAUAAAGUCGCGGCUAACUACGUGACACCAGCCGCGGUAAGACUUAUGUGGCAAGCGAUGGCCGGAAUUAUUGGAAGUACAGCGCGCGCAGGUGGUUUAUAAGUCUGAUGUGAAAGCCCACGGCUCAACCGUGGAGGGUCAUUGGAAACUGUUAAACUUGAGUGCAGGAGAGAAAAGUGGAAUUCCUAGUGUAGCGGUGAAAUGCGUAGAGAUUAGGAGGAACACCAGUGGCGAAGGCGGCUUUUUGGCCUGUAACUGACACUGAGGCGCGAAAGCGUGGGGAGCAAACAGGAUUAGAUACCCUGGUAGUCCACGCCGUAAACGAUGAGUGCUAAGUGUUGGUCUCAUAAGAGAUCAGUGCUGCAGCUAACGCAUUAAGCACUCCGCCUGGGGAGUACGACCGCAAGGUUGAAACUCAAAGGAAUUGACGGGGACCCGCACAAGCGGUGGAGCAUGUGGUUUAAUUCGAAGCAACGCGAAGAACCUUACCAAGUCUUGACAUACUGUGAGGACACAAGAGAUUGUGUUGUUCUGACCUUUGGUUAGACACAGAUACAGGUGGUGCAUGGUUGUCGUCAGCUCGUGUCGUGAGAUGUUGGGUUAAGUCCCGCAACGAGCGCAACCCUUAUAUCUAGUUGCCAGCAGUAAGAUGGGGACUCUAGAUAGACUGCCAGUGAUAAACUGGAGGAAGGUGGGGAUGACGUCAAAUCAUCAUGCCCCUUAUGACUUGGGCUACACACGUGCUACAAUGGAUAGGAACAAAGAGAAGCGAGCUCGCGAGAGUAAGCAAACCUCACAAAACUAUUCUCAGUUCGGAUUGUAGUCUGCAACUCGACUACAUGAAGCUGGAAUCGCUAGUAAUCGCGAAUCAGAAUGUCGCGGUGAAUACGUUCCCGGGUCU
rnacentral:rRNA from 1 species